UACGUAGGGUGCGAGCGUUGUCCGGAAUUAUUGGGCGUAAAGAGCUCGUAGGCGGUCUGUCGCGUCGGUCGUGAAAACCUGCAGCUUAACUGUGGGCGUGCGGUCGAUACGGGCAUGACUGGAGUUCGGCAGGGGAGACUGGAAUUCCUGGUGUAGCGGUGAAAUGCGCAGAUAUCAGGAGGAACAUCAAUAGCGAAGGCAGCUCGCUGGGACGGUACUGACGCUAAGGCGCGAAAGCGUGGGGAGCGAACAGG
rnacentral:rRNA from 1 species